UACGGGGGGGGGCAAGCGUUGUUCGGAAUUACUGGGCGUAAAGGGUCCGUAGGUGGCUUGCUAAGUCAGACGUGAAAUCCCUCGGCUUAACCGGGGAACUGCGUCUGAUACUGGAUGGCUUGAGGUUGGGAGAGGGAUGCGGAAUUCCAGGUGUAGCGGUGAAAUGCGUGGAUAUCUGGAGGAACACCGGUGGCGAAGGCGGCAUCCUGGACCAAUUCUGACGCUGAGUGAGCGAAAGCCAGGGGAGCAAAACGGGG
rnacentral:rRNA from 1 species